rnacentral:rRNA from 1 species
UUCCCAGACUCCUACGGGAGGCAGCAGUGGGGAAUAUUGCACAAUGGGGGAAACCCUGAUGCAGCGACGCCGCGUGAGCGAUGAAGUAUCUCGGUAUGUAAAGCUCUAUCAGCAGGGAAGAAAGUGACAGUACCUGACUAAGAAGCCCCGGCUAACUACGUGCCAGCAGCCGCGGUAAUACGUAGGGGGCAAGCGUUAUCCGGAUUCACUGGGCGUAAAGGGAGCGCAGGCGGCACGGCAAGUCUGGUGUGAAAACCCGGGGCUCAACCCCGGGACUGCAUUGGAAACUGCCGGGCUGGAGUGUCGGAGGGGUAAGCGGAAUUCCUAGUGUAGCGGUGAAAUGCGUAGAUAUUAGGAGGAACACCAGUGGCGAAGGCGGCUUACUGGACGAUGACUGACGCUGAGGCUCGAAAGCGUGGGGAGCAAACAGGAUUAGAUACCCGGGUA